rnacentral:rRNA from 1 species
UGUGAGAGCAAGAGCCCGGAGAUGGAUUCUGAGACAUGAAUCCAGGCCCUACGGGGCGCAGCAGGCGCGAAAACUUUACAAUGCGGGAAACCGUGAUAAGGGGACACCGAGUGCCAGCGUCAUACGCUGGCUGUCCAGGUGUGUAAAAUACACCUGUUAGCAAGGGCCGGGCAAGACCGGUGCCAGCCGCCGCGGUAACACCGGCGGCCCGAGUGGUGAUCGUGAUUAUUGGGUCUAAAGGGUCCGUAGCCGGUUUGGUCAGUCCUCCGGGAAAUCUGAUAGCUCAACUAUUAGGCUUUCGGGGGAUACUGCCAGGCUUGGAACCGGGAGAGGUAAGAGGUACUACAGGGGUAGGAGUGAAAUCUUGUAAUCCCUGUGGGACCACCUGUGGCGAAGGCGUCUUACCAGAACGGGUUCGACGGUGAGGGACGAAAGCUGGGGGCACGAACCGGAUUAGAUACCCGGGUAGUCCCAGCCGUAAACGAUGCUCGCUAGGUGUCAGGCAUGGCGCGACCGUGUCUGGUGCCGCA